GAUGAAGAACGCAGCGAAAUGCGAUAAGUAGUGUGAAUUGCAGAAUUCAGUGAAUCAUCGAAUCUUUGAACGCACAUUGCGCCCCUUGGUAUUCCAUGGGGCAUGCCUGUUCGAGCGUCAUUUGUACCUUCAAGCUUUGCUUGGUGUUGGGUGUUUGUCCCUCGGGACUCGCCUUAAAGUCAUUGGCAGCCAGUGUUUUGGUUUUGAAGCGCAGCACAAGUCGCGAUUCAAGGCUAUCCGCCCGCUUCCACAAGCCUUUUUCACUUUUGACCUCGGAUCAGGUAGGGAUACCGGCUGAACUUAAGCAUAUCAAUAAGCGGAGGA
rnacentral:misc_RNA from 1 species